rnacentral:rRNA from 1 species
GACGAACGCUGGCGGCGUGCUUAACACAUGCAAGUCGAACGGAAAGGCCCCUUUGGGGGUACUCGAGUGGCGAACGGGUGAGUAACACGUUAGUAACCUGCCCUUGACUUCGGGAUAACUUCAGGAAACUGGGGCUAAUACCGGAUAGGAAUCCUUGCUGCAUGGUGGGGGUUGGAAAGCUUCGGCGGUUUUGGAUGGACUCGCGGCUUAUCAGCUUGUUGGUGGGGUAGUGGCUUACCAAGGCUUUGACGGGUAGCCGGCCUGAGAGGGCGACCGGCCACAUUGGGACUGAGAUACGGCCCAGACUCCUACGGGAGGCAGCAGUGGGGAAGAUUGCACAAUGGGCGGAAGCCUGAUGCAGCAACGCCGCGUGCGGGAUGACGGCCUUCGGGUUGUAAACCGCGUUCAGCAGGGGCGAAGCUUGUGGUGACGGUACCUGCAGAAGAAGCACCGGCUAACUACGUG